rnacentral:rRNA from 1 species
AAAAAAGGUAAGCUACUAAGAGCGAAUGGUGGAUGCCUUGACUGGUAAAGGCGAUGAAGGACGUACUAGACUGCGAUAAGCUACGGGGAGCUGUCAAGAAGCUUUGAUCCGUAGAUUUCCGAAUGGGGCAACCCAAUGUAUAGAGAUAUACAUUACCUAUAUAGGAGCGAACGAGGGGAAUUGAAACAUCUUAGUACCCUCAGGAAAAGAAAUCAAUAGAGAUUGCGUCAGUAGCGGCGAGCGAAAGCGCAAGAGGGCAAACCCAGUGCUUGCACUGGGGGUUGUAGGACUGCAAUGUGCAAGAGGUGAGUUUAGCAGAACAUUCUGGAAAGUAUAGCCAUAGAGGGUGAUAGUCCCGUAUGCGAAAAACAAACCUUAGCUAGCAGUAUCCUGAGUAGGGCGGGACACGAGAAAUCCUGUCUGAAGCUGGGUCGACCACGAUCCAACCCUAAAUACUAAUACCAGAUCGAUAGUGCACAAGUACCGUGAGGGAAAGGUGAAAAGAACUGAGGUGAUCAGAGUGAAAUAGAACCUGAAACCAUUUGCUUACAAUCAUUCAGAGCCCUAUGUAGCAAUACAGGGUGAUGGACUGCCUUUUGCAUAAUGAGCCUGCGAGUUGUGGUGUCUGGCAAGGUUAAGCAAACGCGAAGCCGUAGCGAAAGCGAGUCUGAAUAGGGCGCUUAGUCAGAUGCUGCAGACCCGAAACGAAGUGAUCUAUCCAUGAGCAAGUUGAAGCUAGUGUAAGAACUAGUGGAGGACUGAACCCAUAGGCGUUGAAAAGCCCCGGGAUGACUUGUGGAUAGGGGUGAAAGGCCAAUCAAACUUCGUGAUAGCUGGUUCUCUCCGAAAUAUAUUUAGGUAUAGCGUUGUGUCGUAAUAUAAGGGGGUAGAGCACUGAAUGGGCUAGGGCAUACACCAAUGUACCAAACCCUAUCAAACUCCGAAUACCUUAUAUGUAAUCACAGCAGUCAGGCGGCGAGUGAUAAAAUCCGUCGUCAAGAGGGAAACAACCCAGACUACCAGCUAAGGUCCCUAAAUCUUACUUAAGUGGAAAACGAUGUGAAGUUACUUAAACAACCAGGAGGUUGGCUUAGAAGCAGCCAUCCUUUAAAGAAAGCGUAAUAGCUCACUGGUCUAGUGAUUUUGCGCGGAAAAUAUAACGGGGCUAAAGUAAGUACCGAAGCUGUAGACUUGAUUUUAUCAAGUGGUAGGAGAGCGUUCUAUUUGCGUCGAAGGUAUACCGGUAAGGAGUGCUGGAGCGAAUAGAAGUGAGCAUGCAGGCAUGAGUAGCGAUAAUUAAUGUGAGAAUCAUUAACGCCGUAAACCCAAGGUUUCCUACGCGAUGCUCGUCAUCGUAGGGUUAGUCGGGUCCUAAGUCGAGUCCGAAAGGGGUAGACGAUGGCAAAUUGGUUAAUAUUCCAAUACCAACAUUAGUGUGCGAUGGAAGGACGCUUAGGGCUAAGGGGGCUAGCGGAUGGAAGUGCUAGUCUAAGGUCGUAGGAGGUUAUACAGGCAAAUCCGUAUAACAAUACUCCGAGAACUGAAAGGCUUUUUGAAGUCUUCGGAUGGAUAGAAGAACCCCUGAUGCCAUCGAGCCAAGAAAAGUUUCUAAGUUUAGCUAAUGUUGCCCGUACCGUAAACCGACACAGGUGGGUGGGAUGAGUAUUCUAAGGCGCGUGGAAGAACUCUCUUUAAGGAACUCUGCAAAAUAGCACCGUAUCUUCGGUAUAAGGUGUGGUUCGCUUCGUAUUAGGAUUUACUCCGAAAGCGAAGAAACUUACAACAAAGAGUCCCUCCCGACUGUUUACCAAAAACACAGCACUCUGCUAACUCGUAAGAGGAUGUAUAGGGUGUGACGCCUGCCCGGUGCUCGAAGGUUAAUUGAUGGGGUUAGCAUUAGCGAAGCUCUUGAUCGAAGCCCGAGUAAACGGCGGCCGUAACUAUAACGGUCCUAAGGUAGCGAAAUUCCUUGUCGGUUAAAUACCGACCUGCAUGAAUGGCGUAACGAGAUGGGAGCUGUCUCAAAGAGGGAUCCAGUGAAAUUGUAGUGGAGGUGAAAAUUCCUCCUACCCGCGGCAAGACGGAGAGACCCCGUGGACCUUUACUACAGCUUGACACUGCUAUUUGGAUAAGAAUGUGCAGGAUAGGUGGGAGGCUUUGAGUAUAUGACGCCAGUUGUAUAUGAGCCAUUGUUGAGAUACCACUCUUUCUUAUUUGGGUAGCUAACCAGCUUGAGUUAUCCUCAAGUGGGACAAUGUCUGGUGGGUAGUUUGACUGGGGCGGUCGCCUCCCAAAUAAUAACGGAGGCUUACAAAGGUUGGCUCAGAACGGUUGGAAAUCGUUCGUAGAGUAUAAAGGUAUAAGCCAGCUUAACUGCAAGACAUACAAGUCAAGCAGAGACGAAAGUCGGUCUUAGUGAUCCGGUGGUUCUGUGUGGAAGGGCCAUCGCUCAAAGGAUAAAAGGUACCCCGGGGAUAACAGGCUGAUCUCCCCCAAGAGCUCACAUCGACGGGGAGGUUUGGCACCUCGAUGUCGGCUCAUCGCAUCCUGGGGCUGGAGCAGGUCCCAAGGGUAUGGCUGUUCGCCAUUUAAAGCGGUACGCGAGCUGGGUUCAGAACGUCGUGAGACAGUUCGGUCCCUAUCUGCCGUGGGCGUAAGAAGAUUGAAGAGAUUUGACCCUAGUACGAGAGGACCGGGUUGAACAAACCACUGGUGUAGCUGUUGUUCUGCCAAGAGCAUCGCAGCGUAGCUAAGUUUGGAAAGGAUAAACGCUGAAAGCAUCUAAGCGUGAAGCCAACUCUAAGAUGAAUCUUCUCUAAGCUCUCUAGAAGACUACUAGUUUGAUAGGCUGGGUGUGUAAUGGAUGAAAGUCCUUUAGCUGACCAGUACUAAUAGAGCGUUUGGCUUAUCUUUAAUAAAGCAU